rnacentral:rRNA from 1 species
GAUGAACGCUGGCGGCGUGCCUAAUACAUGCAAGUCGAGCGAACGGACGAGAAUCUUGCUUCUCUGAUGUUAGCGGCGGACGGGUGAGUAACACGUGGAUAACCUACCUAUAAGACUGGUAUAACUUCGGGAAACCGGAGCUAAUACCGGAUGAUAUUUUGAACCGCAUGGUUCAAAAGUGAAAGACGGUCUUUCUGUCUCUUAUAGAUGGAUCCGCGCUGCAUUAGCUAGUUGGUAAGGUAACGGCUUACCAAGGCAACGAUGCAUAGCCGACCUGAGAGGGUGAUCGGCCACACUGGAACUGAGACACGGUCCAGACUCCUACGGGAGGCAGCAGUAGGGAAUCUUACGCAAUGGGCGAAAGCAUGACGGAGCAACGCCGCGUGAGUGAUGAAGGUCUUCGGAUCGUAAAACUCUGUUAUUAGGGAAGAACAUAUGUGUAAGUAACUGUGCACAUCGUGACGGUACCUAAUCAGAAAGCCACGGCUAACUACGUG